UUGAUGAGGAUGGAUGCUUUACUGAAAAAAUUACCGACUUUAGCUAGUGCUAUGUCAAAAAUGCAGAUACAGAUAUUAUUGAAGCACUGAAGCGGAAAGGAAGGCUUGUUAAGUCUGGAACCAUUAUGCAUUCUUAUCCCCAUUGCCCAAGAUCUAACACUCCACUUAUUCAAAGAGCUGUUCCAAGUUGGUUUAUCCGGGUGGAGCAGUUGAAAGAAAAAUUGUUAGAAAACAACAAGCAGACAUAUUGGGUUCCUGAUUUUGUGAAGG